AAUGAACGUUGGCGGCGUGGAUUAGGCAUGCAAGUCGUACGAGAAUCGUAGCAAUACGAGGAAAGUGGCGGAAGGGAGAGGAUUACGUGGGAAUCUACCCUCAGAACUGGGAUAGCGGCGGGAAACUGCCGGUAAUGCCAGAUAAUGUCUGUGGACCAAAGGUGUGAUUCCGUCUGGGGAUGAGCCCACGUCCUAUUAGCUAGUUGGCAGGGUAAUGGCCUACCAAGGCAAUGAUGGGUAGCGGGUGUGAGAGCAUGACCCGCCUCACUGGGACUGAGAACUGCCCAGACACCUACGGGUGGCUGCAGUCGAGAAGCUUCGGCAAUGAGCGCAAGCUUGACCGAGCGACGCCGCGUGCGGGAUGAAGGCCUUCGGGUUGUAAACCGCUGUCGUAGGGGAGCAAGAGAUGAGGGUACUCCCUCUGAUUUGAGCGAUCCUAGGAGGAAGGACGGGCUAAGUUCGUGCCAGCCGCCGCCGUAA
rnacentral:rRNA from 1 species